rnacentral:rRNA from 1 species
GACGAACGCUGGCGGCGCGCCUAACACAUGCAAGUCGAACGAGCGAGAGAGAGCUUGCUUUCUCGAGCGAGUGGCGAACGGGUGAGUAACGCGUGAGGAACCUGCCUCAAAGAGGGGGACAACAGUUGGAAACGACUGCUAAUACCGCAUAAGCCCACGGGUCGGCAUCGACCAGAGGGAAAAGGAGCAAUCCGCUUUGAGAUGGCCUCGCGUCCGAUUAGCUAGUUGGUGAGGUAACGGCCCACCAAGGCAACGAUCGGUAGCCGGACUGAGAGGUUGAACGGCCACAUUGGGACUGAGACACGGCCCAGACUCCUACGGGAGGCAGCAGUGGGGAAUAUUGCACAAUGGGGGAAACCCUGAUGCAGCGACGCCGCGUGGAGGAAGAAGGUCUUCGGAUUGUAAACUCCUGUUGUUGGGGAAGAUAAUGACGGUACCCAACAAGGAAGUGACGGCUAACUACGUGCCAGCAGCCGCGGUAAAACGUAGGUCACAAGCGUUGUCCGGAAUUACUGGGUGUAAAGGGAGCGCAGGCGGGAAGACAAGUUGGAAGUGAAAUCUAUGGGCUCAACCCAUAAACUGCUUUCAAAACUGUUUUUCUUGAGUAGUGCAGAGGUAGGCGGAAUUCCCGGUGUAGCGGUGGAAUGCGUAGAUAUCGGGAGGAACACCAGUGGCGAAGGCGGCCUACUGGGCACCAACUGACGCUGAGGCUCGAAAGUGUGGGUAGCAAACAGGAUUAGAUACCCUGGUAGUCCACACCGUAAACGAUGAUUACUAGGUGUUGGAGGAUUGACCCCUUCAGUGCCGCAGUUAACACAAUAAGUAAUCCACCUGGGGAGUACGACCGCAAGGUUGAAACUCAAAGGAAUUGACGGGGGCCCGCACAAGCAGUGGAGUAUGUGGUUUAAUUCGACGCAACGCGAAGAACCUUACCAAGUCUUGACAUCCCUUGACAGACAUAGAAAUAUGUAAUCUCUUCGGAGCAAGGAGACAGGUGGUGCAUGGUUGUCGUCAGCUCGUGUCGUGAGAUGUUGGGUUAAGUCCCGCAACGAGCGCAACCCUUAUGGUCAGUUACUACGCAAGAGGACUCUGGCCAGACUGCCGUUGACAAAACGGAGGAAGGUGGGGAUGACGUCAAAUCAUCAUGCCCUUUAUGACUUGGGCUACACACGUACUACAAUGGCGUUAAACAAAGAGAAGCAAGACCGCGAGGUGGAGCAAAACUCAGAAACAACGUCCCAGUUCGGACUGCAGGCUGCAACUCGCCUGCACGAAGUCGGAAUUGCUAGUAAUCGUGGAUCAGCAUGCCACGGUGAAUACGUUCCCGGGCCU